AAAAAAAACCGCCAGGAGGCUGGGAACCAGGCAUCCAGGCCGGCGGGCUGCCUCAGACGACGCUGCCCUCUGUGCACGAGCAGGCGGCCGGGCAGCACGAAGGACCGUGCAGGGGGCGGGGGCGGGGGCAGGGGACCGGCCCGCGUUCUCCGGCCUCGGGCGGGCACCGGACAAGGCGCCUGAAGCCUCCCUCCUUAUCCCGAGCGGAAGGAGGGACGGCCACAGUGCGGCCCGAAAGCGGCGCCUGCACCGCCACCUCCGUCACCGGCCUGAUCCAGGGUCUGCGGCCCCCCGCCGCCUGGCAUGCCCCCGGCGACCCUGGUCCGCUGGCGUCCCCGCAGGAGGUUCCCCGCGGCGCGCGCACGGCGGGCGCUGCCUGGCCUUCGGAGGGGCGUCCCGAAAAGGGCCCUGGACGACGAGCAAGAGCCCCCCAGCACAUAGUUGCAUAUUCUUCGUUGUGGGUCCUUCUACUUGUGGCAUGUGGGACGCUGCCUCAGCGUGGUUUGAUGAGCAGCGUCAUGUCCCCGCCCAGGAUUCAAACCAACGAAACACUACGCCGCCUGCAGCGGAGCGCGCGCGAACUUAACCACUCGGCCAGGGGGCCAGCCCCCCAAAUGCUUUUGAAAGGACAGUGGCACUCUUCAGGGUGUCCCCUUGCUCCUGCUCACCUUCUAUAUGCAUGCAUGGUCCACCGCCACACCAUGCUGUGAAGUGACAAGAAUGACAGCAUUUGCAGGAAAUGUACAUUGCAACAUGACAAAGCAAGAAACACCUUUUGCAAAAAGCGUUAGAAGUUAAAGGACUGGCUGGUAAUGCCUCGGACAUCAGUUCUUAUCCUUCUGCUUUUGCAGUUGCUGAAUGUUGAAACAAGUCAGCUUGAAGUCGGGUAAUAAAUGGAUUCCAGCUUGAAUCUUGGCAGGAUUUGUUUUGCUUGAGGGAAGUUGUUUAUGCUAAGGGGUGCCCCCCCUGCAUAGUUCGAUUUAUAUUAUACAAAGUCUUGUCCAUCAUCUGGAUGCUGUUGUAAACAAUAUAAUCUUUGUCUACCAGGAAUGAGCCCAAUGCCAAUAACUUUAAAUAAACACAAGC
rnacentral:lncRNA from 1 species